UAUUGGACAAUGGGGGCAACCCUGAUCCAGCAAUGCCGCGUGAGUGAUGAAGGCCUUCGGCCUGUAAAGCUCUUUUGGCAGGGACGAUGAUGGCGGUACCUGCAGAAUAAGCCCCGGCUAACUUCGUGCCAGCAGCCGCGGUAAUACGAAGGGGGCUAGCAUUGUUCGGAGUUACUGGGCGUAAAGGGCGCGUAGGCGGCUCUGCAAGUCGGGCGUGAAAUCCCUGGGCUCAACCCGGGAAUGGCGCUCGAGACUGCAAGGCUUGAGUACGGGAGAGGAUGGUGGAAUUCCCAGUGUAGAGGUGAAAUUCGUAGACAUUGGGAAGAACACCGGUGGCGAAGGCGGCCAUCUAUCCUCAACUGACGCGAGGCGCGAAG
rnacentral:rRNA from 1 species